AUUUUUUUCGUGCUAAAUAAAAAGUACAACACCAAUUAUUUCUCUAAAAUUGUGUCAUCUACGUCAUUGUUACGCAGCACCUGACAACUGGCUCCCCGGCAAGGAUCAGAACCGGAAUGACUUAAAAUAAGGGACAGCAAAAUUUUCCUCACCUUACCUUUACUACGUGUUAUUUUAAAUUUUGAAUUUCCCAGCCGGUCAUCUAGAUACUAUCUACCGCACUAUAUACCCAAAUUCUGUGUAUUUUUAAAUACGAUACAAGUGGAUUGAUGGCAAUUACUGCAUCUAUAUACACACGUGCACCGACAACUUUGAGUUGUGAUGUAAUCAAGAUGAUUUGGGAAAUUGUGUCAAGUGGAAGUUAAGAUAAGAGUGACUGUUUUAUGUAAUUUGUAUUAUGGCGAAGAAAAAUAAGAAGAAGAUACAUAUGUACAUAUAUUUCUUUUCUUUAAGAUUAUGUUAGUAAAGAAACUCGUGGAACACUGACCCCGAUAUAAAAAUAGAGGCGAGGAAAAAGAUGAGAGGACGGUGACUAAAAUUCAACUAGAUUAAAAUCAUGUUCUUUGAAGUGUAUUGAUAAAAAAAAAUUGGUCCAAGGGGAACUGAGAAUUUUUAUGGGAAGAUAUGAAAAAAACGAACAGCAUCACAAGAAAAAUUUCGUAUCGAAACUAAAAAAACAAUCAAAAAGUUGUUAAAAAUGUAAUCAAUUGAGCGUGUUGUAAAAUUUAUUAUAAUUAGAAAAUAAGGUGAAACCCAAUACAUUUUUUU